rnacentral:rRNA from 1 species
GCUCAAAUUUGAAAUCUUCAAGGUUCCACCUUGGCGAAUUGUAGUUUAAAGAAGUGUUUUCUGUUAGUGGAGUGGCAAAAGUUCUUUGGAAUAGGACAUCAUAGAGGGUGAGAAUCCCGUAUUUGGUCAUUCCUUCUAGCUUUGUGAUACACUUUCAAAGAGUCGGAUUGUUUGGGAAUGCAGUCCAAAAUGGGUGGUAAAUUUCAUCUAAAGCUAAAUAUUGGCGAGAGACCGAUAGCGAACAAGUACCGUGAGGGAAAGAUGAAAAGAACUUUGAAAAGAGAGUUAAACAGUACGUGAAAUUGUCAAAAGGGAAGCGUUUGACACCAGUGUUGUUUUUCCGAAAAUCAAUUAUAAAUGUAUUGUUUCUGAGGAGUGAUGACUUCAUCGGCUUCCUUCUCUCUUCACGAAACUUUUGUAAUGCACUUUUCAGUUAACAAG